GCUGGUUCAGUUAUUGCUUACUCAUUCUUAAAGCUUUGGUAAGCAACAAAAUAUUUUACCAGUGUGUUAAUAUAUUAUGUCAAAGGCUUAGAGACCAUCCCUCCUUAGUCUUUCCUUCCACAAGCGAACAACCCUGGAACAUUAAAGGACUUGCUGUAAUAUAAGUAUACUGAGUAUUGUGUGUGUGCGGAAGAAGUUAAUAUACAAAAUGUGUAACCUUUCAAUUCAUGGUAUAUUCACUUGCAAUUUCUUGUCGUAAUAUAAUAUUUGUUAAAAUUUAAAAAGUUCUUUCAAGACAAAUAUAUACCACAAACUUUGUACUUCGUUAGUUCUAAACUGAAAUGUAUCAACCAAAAUGUUUAAAUCUAUACUUUAUAGUGUCGCCCCAUGUGAGGCAAUCCAGGAGGUAUUUGGAUUCCGAAUCUAAAAGCUAUCAAGCAGAUAUACUCUUGAAGCAUUCCUUCUAUCAAAAUAUUCUUUUCUACUUGCCAUUUGGCCUCAAUAAAAAGUAUUUUGAGAAUCGAUUCCGGUUGAAAACAGUCAAGCUAUUAUUGUUUUUGUUUGUGGAAACACCAC